GAUGAACGCUGACAGAAUGCUUAACACAUGCAAGUCGAUGGGGAAGUGGUGCUUGCACCAUGGUAACCACGGCGGACGGGUGAGUAACGCGUAAGGAACUUGCCUGCGGGACUGGGAUAACAGCAGGAAACUGCUGAUAAUACCGGAUAAGGUCAUUAAGCUGCAUAGCUUAGUGAUGAAAGGAGACGCCUGCGGAGAGCCUUGCGUCCUAUUAGCUAGUUGGAGGGGUAACGGCCCACCAAGGCGAAGAUAGGUAGCCGGCCUGAGAGGGUGGACGGCCACAAGGGGACUGAGAUACGGCCCUUACUCCUACGGGAGGCAGCAGUGGGGAAUAUUGGACAAUGGGGGCAACCCUGAUCCAGCAAUUCUGUGUGCACGAAGACGGUUUUCGGAUUGUAAAGUGCUUUCAGCAGGGAAGAAGGAAGUGACGGUACCUGCAGAAGAAGCGACGGCUAAAUACGUGCCAGCAGCCGCGGUAAUACGUAUGUCGCGAGCGUUAUCCGGAAUUAUUGGGCAUAAAGGGCAUCUAGGCGGCCUUUCAAGUCAGGGGUGAAAACCUGCGGCUCAACCGCAGGCCUGCCUUUGAAACUGAUAGGCUGGAGUACCGGAGAGGUGGACGGAACUGCACGAGUAGAGGUGAAAUUCGUAGAUAUGUGCAGGAAUGCCGAUGAUGAAGAUAGUUCACUGGACGGUAACUGACGCUGAAGUGCGAAAGCCGGGGGAGCGAACAGG
rnacentral:rRNA from 1 species